CCAGACUCCUACGGGAGGCAGCAGUGAGGAAUAUUGGUCAAUGGUCGGGAGACUGAACCAGCCAAGCCGCGUGAGGGAUGAAGGUACAGAGUAUCGUAAACCUCUUUUGUCAGGGAACAAAGGCGGGGACGUGUCCCCGGAUGAGUGUACCUGAAGAAAAAGCAUCGGCUAACUCCGUGCCAGCAGCCGCGGUAAUACGGAGGAUGCGAGCGUUAUCCGGAUUUAUUGGGUUUAAAGGGUGCGUAGGCGGGACCUUAAGUCAGCGGUAAAAUUGCGGUGCUCAACGCCGUAGAGCCGUUGAAACUGGGGUUCUUGAGUGAGCGAGAAGUAUGCGGAAUGCGUGGUGUAGCGGUGAAAUGCAUAGAUAUCACGCAGAACCCCGAUUGCGAAGGCAGCAUGCCGGCGCUCAACUGACGCUGAGGCACGAAAGUGCGGGUAUCGAACAGGAUUAGAUACCCGCGUAA
rnacentral:rRNA from 1 species